rnacentral:rRNA from 1 species
UACGCUAAUACCGCAUAACGCUGCGAUGGGGCAUCCCGAUGCAGCCAAAGGAGCAAUCCGCUGGAAGAUGGGCUCGCGGCCGAUUAGCUAGUUGGUGGGGCAACGGCCCACCAAGGCGACGAUCGGUAGCCGGACUGAGAGGUUGAUCGGCCACAUUGGGACUGAGACACGGCCCAGACUCCUACGGAAGGCAGCAG